rnacentral:rRNA from 1 species
UUAAGCAUAUUAAUUAGGGGAGGAAAAGAAACUAACAAGGAUUUUCUUAGUAGCGGCGAGCGAAAAGAAAUCAGUUCAGCACUAAGUCACUUUGUCUAUAUGGCAAAUGUGAGAUGCAGUGUAUGGAGCGUCAAUAUUCUAGUAUGAGAAAUUAACGAUUUAAGUCCUUCUUAAAUGAGGCCAUUUACCCAUAGAGGGUGCCAGGCCCGUAUAACGUUAAUGAUUACUAGAUGAUGUUUCCAAAGAGUCGUGUUGCUUGAUAGUGCAGCACUAAGUGGGUGGUAAACUCCAUCUAAAACUAAAUAUAACCAUGAGACCGAUAGUAAACAAGUACCGUGAGGGAAAGUUGAAAAGAACUCUGAAUAGAGAGUUAAAUAGUACGUGAAACUGCUUAGAGGUUAAGCCCGAUGAACCUGAAUAUCCGUUAUGGAAAAUUCAUCAUUAAAGUUAUAAUAUUUAAACAAUAUUAUACAAAUAAUGUGCAUUUUUUCCAUAUAAGGACAUUGUAAUCUAUUAACAUAUUAAAUUUAUCAUAAAAUAUGGCUUAUAGUUUAUUCAAAUUAUUAUGCUUGCAUUUUAACAUAGAAUAAAUGUCAUUAAUUUGAUAAAGUGUUGAUAGACUAAUAAGAAUACAGUGCGUUAAUUUUUCGGAAUUAUAUAAUGGCAUAAUUAUCAUUGAUUUUUGUGUUUAUUAUAAGCACUUGUAUGAUUAACAAUGCGAAAGAUUCAGGAUACCUUCGGGACCCGUCUUGAAACACGGACCAAGGAGUCUAACAUAUGUGCAAGUUAUUGGGAUAUAAACCUAAUAGCGUAAUUAACUUGACUAAUAAUGGGAUUAGUUUUUUAACUAUUUUAUAGCUAAUUAACACAAUCCCGGGGCGUUCUAUAUAGUUAUGUAUAAUAAUAUUUAUAUUAUUUAUGCCUCUAACUGGAACGUACCUUGAGCAGAUAUGCUGUGACCCGAAAGAUGGUGAACUAUACUUGAUCAGGUUGAAGUCAGGGGAAACCCUGAUGGAAGACCGAAACAGUUCUGACGUGCAAAUCGAUUGUCAGAAUUGAGUAUAGGGGCGAAAGACCAAUCGAACCAUCUAGUAGCUGGUUCCUUCCGAAGUUUCCCUCAGGAUAGCUGGUGCAUUUUAAUGUUAUAUAAAAUAAUCUUAUCUGGUAAAGCGAAUGAUUAGAGGCCUUAGGGUCGAAACGAUCUUAACCUAUUCUCAAACUUUAAAUGGGUAAGAACCUUAACUUUCUUGAUAUGAAGUUUAAGGUUAUGAUAUAUUGUGCCCAGUGGGCCACUUUUGGUAAGCAGAACUGGCGCUGUGGGAUGAACCAAACGUAAUGUUACGGUGCCCAAAUUAACAACUCAUGCAGAAACCAUGAAAGGCGUUGGUUGCUUAAAACAGCAGGACGGUGAUCAUGGAAGUCGAAAUCCGCUAAGGAGUGUGUAACAACUCACCUGCCGAAGCAACUAGCCCUUAAAAUGGAUGGCGCUUAAGUUGUAUACCUAUACAUUACCGCUAAAGUAGAUGAUUUAUAUUACUUGUAAUAUAAAUUUUGAAACUUUAGUGAGUAGGAAGGUACAAUGGUAUGCGUAGAAGUGUUUGGCGUAAGCCUGCAUGGAGCUGCUAUUGGUACAGAUCUUGGUGGUAGUAGCAAAUAAUCGAAUGAGACCUUGGAGGACUGAAGUGGAGAAGGGUUUCGUGUGAACAGUGGUUGAUCACGAGUUAGUCGGUCCUAAGUUCAAGGCGAAAGCCGAAAAUUUUCAAGUAAAAAUAAAAUUUACUAUAUGUAAAAAUUAUAUACUUGAAUAAUUUUGAACGAAAGGGAAUACGGUUCCAAUUCCGUAACCUGUUGAGUAUCCGUUUGUUAUUAAAUAUGGGCCUCGUGCUCAUCCUGGCAACAGGAACGACCAUAAAGAAGCCGUCGAGAGAUAUCGGAAGAGUUUUCUUUUCUGUUUUAUAGUCGUACUACCAUGGAAGUCUUUCGCAGAGAGAUAUGGUAGAUGGGCUAGAAGAGCAUGACAUAUACUGUUGUGUCGAUAUUUUCUCCUCGGACCUUGAAAAUUUAUGGUGGGGAUACGCAAACUUCUCAACAGGCCGUACCAAUAUCCGCAGCUGGUCUCCAAGGUGAAGAGUCUCUAGUCGAUAGAAUAAUGUAGGUAAGGGAAGUCGGCAAAUUAGAUCCGUAACUUCGGGAUAAGGAUUGGCUCUGAAGAUUGAGAUAGUCGGGCUUGAUUGGGAAACAAUAAUAUGGUUUAUGUGCUCGUUCUGGGUAAAUAGAGUUUCGAUCAUUUAUGGUUGUAACUUGUUCCCCGGAUAGUUAGUUACGUAUCCAAUUGUGGAACUUUCUUGCUAAAAUUUUUAAGAAUACUAGUUGGGUCAAACCAAUUAGUUCUUAUUAAUUAUAACGAUUAUCAAUUAACAAUCAAUUCAGAACUGGCACGGACUUGGGGAAUCCGACUGUCUAAUUAAAACAAAGCAUUGUGAUGGCCCUAGCGGGUGUUGACACAAUGUGAUUUCUGCCCAGUGCUCUGAAUGUCAAAGUGAAGAAAUUCAAGUAAGCGCGGGUCAACGGCGGGAGUAACUAUGACUCUCUUAAGGUAGCCAAAUGCCUCGUCAUCUAAUUAGUGACGCGCAUGAAUGGAUUAACGAGAUUCCUACUGUCCCUAUCUUCCGAAGAGAGCGGACGUGUUUCUCGGUCGCUCCGUUUGAAAAAUUAAAUUCAGCUGAAAUACGCUGCCUUUCUGGACAAUUAAUAGUGCGUUUUGUGUGCGAAGUGCGGUGCUACAAGUUGCGAUUUGUGCGGUUGCUGUAGCUAACCGAUUUUCGUGGAAAAUUGCGUUUUUCCGUCGCGAAAAUUCGCCACGUGUUUUUGGCAAAACAAUAAAGCUUUAAGCUUUGGUGCUGCCAUAUCAGUGAAAACUAUAAAAACAGCUUUCUAUCAGCUGUUUUUGGUGCUGCCAUAUCGGCAUAAAAACCUUAAGCAGCUGUGUGUUGGUGUUGCCAUAUAGGCAUAAAACAGUGGAACAGCUGAGUGGAGUGUGGCCGUAUUUAGUUAACUCUUUUGUGCUAAAUUUGGUACAUUUUGUGGCGCGGAGAAUUCGAGUUUUCGAAUUUAAAUUCGAAAAAUGCCGCGCGGUCGUGGUUGCCGCAGUCGCUCGGGCAGUCGCUCGAGCAUAGCGAGCGCUGCUAGCGUCGCUAGUGCUGCCAGCGUCGCGGUCGAAGUCCGUCAAGCCCGGAAGUCAAGGGAGCGUUCCAUUUCCUUUGA